rnacentral:lncRNA from 1 species
CUCAAACACCCCAUGUUAUCCAGAGGAGGGAUCCAGCGCCAAAGUGCCUGGCUCUUAGCCCCGUGAUCUCGUGGCCACAGCUCCGUCCCAGCAGCAGCUAUUUCACAAGGAUGAAAUCCAAAGCUGCAGUCAUCUGAAGGUUUCACUGGAGCUUGAGCGUCAGCUUCGAGGGUGCCUCAUUCCCACACUUGUCAGUUUGUGGGUCAUGAACGCAGAAGUGACUUAGCUGGGAGUCCUGGCUUAGAGUCUCUUGUGAGGCUGCCCCCAGGAUGAAAUCCAGACCUGCAGUCAUCUGAAGGCUUCACGGGGCUCGAAGGUCCACUUCCAGGGUGCCUCAUUCCCACGCUUGUCAGACCAGCCCUGGUUCAAUGCGGAGGAGACCACACAGGAUGGCGGUAUCAGGAGGCACCAGGGCCAUCAUGGAGACCAGCUGCCCCAGCAACCGGCCCAGAGCGAGAAGACAGCCCCACUCCCAGGCCUGCCUGUCUGACUUGGGUUGCCAGCAUGGGUCCCCAGCAGGAAGUCUUCCCAGGGCCCAUCAUGUUGCUGAGGCUUGUGUCUUCUCUGGGAAGCUGCCUGGUGCCUGUGGGUUGGUGGGAGGAACAAAGAAGAGACCACAGGCCAGUAGCCCUCAAGACAAGGAGACUGAGCUCCUGAACCAACCCAUUUCUCAUGCUGCAGUAGAGCAGAAACACAGUUCACAGCUCACAGACUGUUCUUUGGACUCCUGUUGACAUCUCGCAGGACACAGCAUGUGGGACCACUCAGGGAGCAGACACUACACCCUGAAGUCUCUUUAUUCCUCUGACCCAGUGGUUCUCAACUGGAAACAGUUUUACUCCCCAGGGGUUAUUUAGCAAUGUCUGGAGACAUUUUUGUUUGUCACAACUGGGGAUGGGGGAGAUGUCUGUUGGCAUUUAGUGAGUAGGGGCCAGGGUGCCAUGAAAUAUCCUGCAAUGCACAAGGCAACCUCCACAACAAAGAAUGAUCUGGCCCAAGAUGAGCUGAGGUGGAGAAACCCUGUGCUAACCGUUUCCAAAAUAAGCGGGGGCCAGGGGUGGGAGAAAGGCUGCAGGGAGGGUAAGAAGUGAUGUCCCAGGGGUCGUCUAAACGCCACCAAAGCUGCCAUGAGGCUCAGCUGCCCACCUCGUGGAGCGGGAAGUUUCUGUGACCAGAGCCCCCAAACACAGCUUUCUUGGAGUGAACAGGACCUCAGAAAUGAGGAGAAUGACCCUGUGCUGUCUUCAAGCAGAGAAUUUCCUGCCCUGGCCUGAUGAAGCCAGAGAGAGGCCACCCACAUUCUGCCAGGAGGUGAAGCCAGCUCUAGGGAGGAGUUAUUGGGGUGGCUGACCUUGACCAAAGGCCCCCCAAAUCCACAAUGCAGGGGCCCAUCUCCCCUCAGGACCCCAAAAUGUGAUGCUCUAAAGAGCCAAAAUACUCAAACCCAUGAGUCUUUUAUCUGGAGAAAAUCUGCCUUCCUGUCCAUCCACCUGCAGGACGCAUGCACACAGGUGCACACACAGACCCACACACUGCCUCCCAGACCAGCCAGCCACUCCCUGCACUGCUUUUACUAAGGGAACAGACAUUCAAAGGUAUUACACUCCUGCCAACAUUCUGAGCCACGAAGUUUGUCCGAUGGGAAAAUGGAUCCCGGAAGCAAGUUUUGGUGGACCAAUCCCCUCUCCCUAAGAUGAGGGCUCUGUCUGGGAAAAGCACCAUCUUCUGGCCAAGGCAGGCAGAGGGCAGCAAAGGAAAUGUCCAGGGCUCUUAUUCAUUCAUUUGUUCUUUCGUUCAAGAAAUACCAAAAUAGAACUACUGUAAGAUCCAACAAUUCCACUACUGGGUAGACAUCCAAAAGAAAGGAAAUCAGUAUACUGAAGCUAUAGCUGCAUUCCUGCAUUAAUUGUAGUGCAUUCACAAUAGCCAAAAUAUGGAAUCAACCUAACUGUCCAUCAAUGGAUGGAUGGAUGGAUGGAUGGAUGGAUGGAUGGAUGAAUGGAUGGAUGAAUAAAAUGUAAUUAUAUAUAUACACACACACACACUAUGGGAUAUUAUUCAGCCAUAAAAAUAAUGAAAUCCUGUCAUUUGCUGCAAUGUGAAUGGAAAUGGAGGUCAUUACGGUAAGUGAAAUAGGCCAAGCACAGACAGACAAAUACUGCAUGUUCUCACUCAUAUGUGGGAGCUACAGAGUGGAUCUCAUGAACGUAGAGAGUAGACUGGUGGUUAUCAGAGGCCAAGAAAUAUAGCAGGGGAGGGGAAUGAAGAGAUACUGAUUAAUGGGUACAAAUAUACAGCUGGAAGGAAUAAGACCUGGCGUUCAGUAGAUCAGCAGGAUGACUAUGGCUAGAAUUAAUUGAUUGUACAUUUCAAAAUAACUAGAAGAGAAUAGUUCAAACGUUCCUGGCCUAAAGAUGAAUAUUUAUGGUAGUGGAUAUCCCAAUUACCCUAAUUUGAUGAUACAAAGGUAUCAAAUUU